rnacentral:rRNA from 1 species
GACGAACGCUGGCGGCGUGCUUAACACAUGCAAGUCGAACGAAGUGGCGAACGGGUGAGUAACGCGUAAUCCACCUGCCCUUCAGAGGGGGACAACAGUUGGAAACGACUGCUAAUACCGCAUACUGAAGGCGGGGCUUGCGUCUGAUUAGCUCGUUGGCGGGGUAACGGCCCACCAAGGCGAUGAUCAGUAGCCUGUCUGACAGGAGGAACGGCCACAUUGGGACUGAGACACGGCCCAGACUCCUACGGGAGGCAGCAGUGGGGAAGCUUCCGCAAUGGACGAAAGUCUGACGGAGCAACGCCGCGUGAGUGAUGACGGCCUUCGGGUUGUAAAGCUCUGUUAAUCGGGACGCGGUACCGGAAUAGAAAGCCACGGCUAACUACGUGCCAGCAGCCGCGGUAAUAC